GUUUUCCGGCGACUAAUAUUUUUGCCGGCCAGCCAUCCGUUAUUUGUUCUACUCUUUUUUCCGGUAAACCAUUUUUUAGACGAGGUUAAAAUGGCUGCACUUCACGGCGGAGAUGGUGGCAACGACCCUCCAAACUGGGGGUGGAAUCCCGAAUGGGGUUGUAGGCGUACGGGUGGUAUUAGCACAGGGAGAGCUGCUGCUGCUAACAACGAUCUGGAGCGCGAGUUUCAGAAUUCGGGACGCCGAAUCUCGCUUAUGUUAAAUAACGAU